AUGAACGAAGGUGCAUUGGCAGCUCACAGUAUGGUGAACCAGGAAGAAAAUUUGGCUGUGAACGGGGCGGCGGGCGUCUCAAGCUCGGGGCCUGCCGCGACGCCUGGCACUGUCCUGCAGGCUGCGGCUGGCAUUUACGAGCAACUUAAGGGCGAGUGGAACUGUAAAAGCCCCAAUCUUAGCAAGUGCGGGGAAGAGCUGGGGUGCCUCAAGCUAGUUCUGCUGGAGCUCAACUUCCUUCCAACCACAGGCACCAAGCUGACCAAACAGCAGCUCAUUCUGGCCCAUGACAUACUGGAGAUCCGGGCCCAGUGGAGCAUCUUGCGAAAGGACAUCCUCUCCUUCAAGCGCUACAUGGCGCAGCUCAAAUGCUACUACUUUGAUUAUAAGGAGCAGCUCCCUGAGUCAGCCUAAAUGCACCAACUCUUGGGCCUCAAUCUUCUCUUCCUGCUGUCCCAGAACCGGGUGGCUGAGUUUUACACGGAAUUGGAGCAGCUGCCUGCCAAGGACAUUCAGACCAAUGUCUACAUCAAGCACCCUGUGUCCCUUGAGCAAUACCUGAUGGAAGGCAGCUACAACAAGGUGUUCCUGGCCAAGGGGAACAUCCCUGCUGAGAGUUACACUUUCUUCAUUGACAUCCUACUUGACACUAUCAGGGAUGAGAUUGCUGGAUGCAUCGAGAAGGCCUAUGAGAAAAUCCUUUUCACUGAGGCCACCUGGAUCCUCUUCUUCAACACACCCAAAAAGAUGACAGACUAUGCCAAGAAGCGAGGGUGGGUCCUUGGCCCCCACAACUACUACAGUUUUGCCAGCCAGCAGCAGAAACCAGAAGACACCACCAUUCCCUCUACAGAACUGGCCAAACAGGUCAUUGAGUAUGCCCGGCAGCUGGAGAUGAUCAUCUGAGUUCUCCAGGCACUGGGGUGGGCAGGACAUGCCUUCUUUAAAACACAGUACUGGGUUUCCUCCAAUAAAGGUGGAUUG